rnacentral:rRNA from 1 species
UGGGGAAUUUUGCGCAAUGGGCGAGAGCCUGACGCAGCAACGCCGCGUGGGUGAUGAAGGUCUUCGGAUCGUAAAGCUCUGUUAUUGGGGAAGAAAAAAGACGGUACCCAAGAAGAAAGUCCCGGCUAACUACGUGCCAGCAGCCGCGGUAAUACGUAGGGGACAAGCGUUGUCCGGAUUUACUGGGCGUAAAGGGCACGCAAGCGGUUUUUUAAGUCAGAUGUGAAAGGUACCGGCUCAACCGGUGACAUGCAUUUGAAACUGAAAGACUUGAGUAUUGGAGAGGCAAGUGGAAUUCCUAGUGUAGCGGUGAAAUGCGUAGAUAUUAGGAGGAACACCGGUGGCGAAGGCGGCUUGCUGGACAAAUACUGACGCUGAGGUGCGAAAGCGUGGGGAGCAAACA